rnacentral:rRNA from 1 species
AGCAGCAGCCACGGUAAUACGUAGGUGGCAAGCGUUGUCCGGAAUUAUUGGGCGUAAAGGGCUCGCAGGCGGUUUCUUAAGUCUGAUGUGAAAGCCCCCGGCUCAACCGGGGAGGGUCAUUGGAAACUGGGAAACUUGAGUGCAGAAGAGGAGAGUGGAAUUCCACGUGUAGCGGUGAAAUGCGUAGAGAUGUGGAGGAACACCAGUGGCGAAGGCGACUCUCCGGUCUGUAACUGACGCUGAGGAGCGAAAGCGUGGGGAGCGAACAGGAUUAGAUACCCGCGUAGUCCCUGUCUCUUAUAC